rnacentral:lncRNA from 1 species
UUCUUCUUUCUUUUUUUUUUUCCCAGACCCCACCCGGUGGGAAUAUACUGGGUAGUUGUUGUUGUUGUUUUUUUUUAUUUUGUACCAAGUGUCCGAGUCUCUUCGAGACUCGACUAAUCCCGGGGGUGUACAAGCCCUCGGCAAGGAGUUUCCCGCAAGUGCACCACGGUUAAUUCAGGUUUUACCCAGUCCCAAAAAUGCUUUAAAGAGAUGGUAGCUAUAAUUAUCCUUGAUUCACCUUUAUAUACGUUUAAAUUUCUAUUGAUAUAUUUAUAGGCAUAUGAUAAUACUGUAUUCCCUGAAUCAAUUUGCUAUUCAAAGUAAGACUCCCUCGGUUUUAUUUGGUUGGUUAUAGUUUGAUUUGACAAAGAGUAAUGAAUAACGAAGACCUUUUUUUCUGAUUUACAUCGGGUAUUCGAGUCUUUAUGAUUCUCGAAUAAUUCCGGGGGUGCACAGGCCCGCGGCAAGGAGUUUCUCGCAAGUGCACUACGGUUAAUUCAGGUUUUACCCAGUCCGAUGGCCCUCAGAAAUUGUUUGCACCCAGUUGGUUUCGAACUUGAGACCUUGAAAGGGAGCAAACCCCAAGGCUCAAGUCAAUUGCCACCAGGCCAACCCUGAGGGUUAUUGUCCAGUUUUUCCAAUACUAAGUUUCUACUUUCCUAGUCCUAAUCACUAACAUAUCAUCCUUCCUUAACAUUUCUAUAGAACUUAAUACAUCACUUUGUGAGCCACCAUUUAUAGGCACAUUUCAUUUCAGAUCCGGAUGGCAGGAAAGUAAAAAUUUUGGCAAGAUGCACGGCUGGGUCACUCCCCUUAAAGAGACCAGCUUCCAACCCUCUUCAGACUUGCAGAAAAUCCUGAAGCUUCUAUCUUGGAGACUCAAACUACAGAACAGAGCAAGGUCGGAACAUCAUUCUCAAGAAAAAAUCCAUCAUUGCGAAAUGAACAGCUUUUG